AUCCAGCUGAUGAGUCCUAAAUAGGACGAAGAGAGCGUCCUGAAU
rnacentral:hammerhead_ribozyme from 1 species